rnacentral:rRNA from 1 species
AGAUUGAACGCUGGCGGCAUGCCUUACACAUGCAAGUCGAGCGGCAGCGCGGGGGCAACCCUGGCGGCGAGCGGCGAACGGGUGAGUAAUACAUCGGAACGUGUCCAGUAGUGGGGGAUAACCAGUCGAAAGAUUGGCUAAUACCGCAUACGAUCUACGGAUGAAAGCGGGGGACCGUAAGGCCUCGCGCUGUUGGAGCGGCCGAUGUCCGAUUAGCUAGUUGGCGGGGUAAUGGCCCACCAAGGCGACGAUCGGUAGCUGGUCUGAGAGGAUGAUCAGCCACACUGGAACUGAGACACGGUCCAGACUCCUACGGGAGCAGCAGUGGGGAAUUUUGGACAAUGGGCGCAAGCCUGAUCCAGCCAUGCCGCGUGAGUGAAGAAGGCCUUCGGUGUAAAGCUCGUUUCGGCGGGACGAAACGGUUCGUGACAACACCACGGACUAAUGACGGUACUCGCAGAAGAAGCACCGGCUAACUACGUGCCAGCAGCCGA